rnacentral:lncRNA from 1 species
CCACACCCAUGUCUUAUGGAGGUUCCCAGGCUAGGGGUCAAAUCAGAGCUGUUGCUGCUGGCCUACACCACAGCUCACGGCAACGCCGGAUCCUUAACCCAUUGAGCAAGGCCAGGGAUUGAACCCACAAUCACAGGGAGUUUUUGAACGAAUGUGUGUUAUUCUUUUUAAUCCACACUUUCAUAGCCUUGCAAAUAAUGUGGGUUUUUCCUCCUCCCUAAAGACUCUACAUUUCUUAUGGUAAUAAAUCUCAAAAGAUAAGCUUUCUUCAACUUGUUCUUAGUACCUGUUUUUAAAUAUAUUUCACAGAAUUCUUGAGUUUUCCCUCUUAAAAUAGCAAGUUGAAUGCAACUGUGUUGUGGUCAAUAUUAUAAAAUCUGAAAAAUCAUCUAGAAAAAAACCUUGAUGACCAGUCAGAUCAAGAUUCACAUACUUCCCCCACUUAUCUAAAAAGUUAAUCUUCCAUUCUGGAAUUGCAAAUAUAUUAAAGUUUCAAAUAAUUGACGCAAGCUAGCAAUUUCUAGUUAUAAACUAAUACUGUAACAGGCAAUACACCUCAAAUAUAAGCAAAGUACAUAUCUGUUAAACUAUCUGAUCAUCUCAGAAUAACUUCAAAGGCACAGGACAUGCCUUGUCAUAUUUAAUUACUUCCAGUAUCUACUAAAAAUUAUGAGUUUGUACAGAGAAAGUUGAGUAAUAUCCUCUGAUAAAAAUCUUAUAAAUAGUAAGAAAGAUACACAUAAUAGGGACACACAUUUUCUUUCAAGUCCUUCAAUUCAAUAAAUACAAUGCCGACCAAGUUCUUAUCAUUCCAUGUGCUUUCUAAAGCUUAGUGGCAAAACCCAUGGAUUGUAAUAUUGUAUUUGAAACCAUAUAAGACAAUCUGAUCAUACCAAACUUGUAAAUUUGUUUUAUAAUACAAUGACUUACUCUCUUUUUACUCUACUAUUAGCAACUGAGCUUACUUUUUUAUAUGGCCAUGUAAAAACGUUAGUUUAACCAGGUACUGUGUUCACGAAAAGAUCCCUAAUGGUAAUAAACACCCUUUUGCCUCCCACCUGCUCCCACUGUUGCUCCCCAAUUCCUGAGUUUAGCGAAUUAUGUGAAUGAUUAUGUAUGUUAUUCAGUUUUUUAUGAAAAUCUAAACUCUAGACCUUUUAGGAAUUUCUUUUUAAAAAAAAGAAAUCAUCACUAAUAUUAACUCCAUAAAUACAGAAUUUAAAAAGUCAAACUGGGAGUUCCCAGUGUGGCUCAGUGAUAACACACCUGACUGGUGUCCAUGAAGAUGUGGCUCCAAUCCCUGGCCUCCCUCCAUGGGUUAAGGAUCUGGUGUUGCCCUGAGCUGAAGUGGAGGUCACAGAAUCUGCUCAGAUCCCACAUUGCUGUGGCUAUGGCCAGCAGCUAUAGCUCUGAUUCAACCCCUAGCCUGGGAGCUUUGAUAUGCCGCAGGUGCGGCCACACAAAGCCAAAAAAAAUAAAAAUAAAAGUCAAACUGAUGGUAUAAAAAAUGUUUAGUAUGAAAAGCAUGCCAAAUUCUUCUGAUAUUUUCAAAGCAGGAUAAUGCUUGACAUUUCAUCAACCAACUAGAAAGGCAUCGAUCCUUCAAGGAGCUUGAGGUUUACUGUAUGGUACAUGCUUACAGGAAAUUAUAAUUUGCUAUGAUAGAGUAUACAAGGAGCAAUUAAUCAGGCUCGGGAAGAUAGGAAAGAUUUCACAGAGAAUAUAAUAUCUAAACUGAGAAAGUCUUCUUUCUCCCCUUGCAGUACAAGGAAGGAAGGUAACCAAAGAAAUGGAGGUAAGGGUAAACCACAGCAGGCAAUCAGGCAUAGGAGAAAUUCUAAAGUGAAAGAACAUGAUAAUCAAGGAACUUAAGGUAUAAUUUGUUUCAAACAUUGAAUGAGAGGCAGAAAGUAGGAGAGUAUUUUAAAAUCAUGCGGUAAUUUGUUUUAAAGAAUAGGUUUUAUUUUAAAGAAAUUUACUCCAACUACCUUACAGGAGUCUCUUGGGCAAAAAGUGCACUAGCGUCACAGAAAGCAAUUAAGGAAGCAUUUCCAAUAAUCUAGAAAAGGAGAGUGGGGCAUUAAUUUAAGAAAGUGGCAUUAAUUAUAAAGAAAUGAAGUUGAAUCGAUGCUGGUAGGAGAGGAGAGUGUGGUAAAGAAGUAACUGAAGAGAGAGAUGAGACUAAGAUGCUGGAGUACAAGGACUGUAGCUCACGUUUUCUCAUAACAGCAACAAAAUUAUUACCAACUGCUGAACAACCUUCAACAAAAUAGACUAGAAACUAUCAAAACAAGAUAUCCUACUCCAGAACACAAAGAGGAGGCCACAUUAAGACAGCAGGACAGGGUGGGCGGCCCACAGACUAGAAACUAACUGUAUCACAGAGCUUCAGAGUGAGAAUUCUGAGCACCAUGUCAGGUUCCCAUACCUGGGGAUCUGGCCUUGGAAGAAGGAGCCCCCAGCGCAUUUGGCUUUGAGGGCCAGUGGGGCUUGUGUGCAGGAGCUCCACAGGACUGGGGGAAAGAGAGUCUCCAUUCUUAAAAAGCACACACAGGCUUUCAAGUGCACUGGGUCACAGGACAAAGCAGACUCCACAGGAAUCUGGGUCAGACCUGACUGCAAUUCUUGGAGGAUCUCCUGGGAAAUCAGGGGGUAAAUGUGGCUCAUCAGGGAAGGACACUUAAGGCAAACGUAUCAGGAAUAAUCAUCAGUGUGUGCUCCUCUGAACAUGGCCAUUAUGGAAAAAUCUGGUCCCACCCACCACGGCUGAGAGGCCCCAGGCCAAUCAAUAUCCAGGUGGGAACACAGCCUCACUCAUCAGCAAACAGGCUGCGUAAAGACCCACCAAGCACACAAUCACCUCUGAUUUCACCUAGAGACAAAGCCCCACCCACCAGAGGGAUAAGAAUCAGCUCCAUCUAACAGUGGGCAAGCACCAGUCCCUCCCAUCAGUAAGCCUACAACAAGCACCCACACCAACUUCAGCUAAAAGGGGAGCAGACAUCAGAAGCAAGAGAGACUACAACUCAAUAAUCUACAAAGAGGAGACCACAUCAAAAAUCUAUACAAAGUGAAAAAGCAGAGAAUUAUGAUUCAGAUAAAAUAACAAGAAAAAAACAUAGGAAAACAGAUAAGUGAUCCGGAGAUUACAAAUUUCCAUGGAAAAAACUUUAGACUGAUGACAGUGAAGAUGAUUCAAGAUAUUGGAAAUAAACUGGAGGCAAAGACUGAUAAAUUACAAGAAACACUGAGCAAAGAAAUACAAGAUUUAAGGAAUAAGCAAGCAGAGAUGCAAAUACAAUAACAAAUAAAAAAUGAACUAGAAACAACCAACAGGAGAGAAUACAGUAGGCAGAAGAAUGAAUAAGCUAGGUGAAGGAAAGACUAGUUGACCUCACUGAUGCAGAGCAGAAAAGAGAAAAAAGACUGAAAAGAAACGAAGACAAUCUAAGAGAACUCCGGGACAUUGUUAAACACACUGACAUCUGUAUUAUAGGGGUGCCAGAAGGAGAAAAGAGAAAGGGCCAGAAAAAAUAUUUCAAGAGAUAAUAGCCAAAAAGUCGCCUAACAUGGAAAAACUCAAAUCCAGGAAGCAAGAGGAACCCCAAUAAGGUUAUCGGCAGAUUUUUUUUUUUUUUUUUUAGCAGAAACCUCUGCAGGACAGAAGGGAGUGGCACAAUAUACUGAAAGUGAUGUAAGGAAAAAACCUCCAACCAAGAUUACUCUACCCAGCAAGGCUCUCAUUCAGAUUUGAAGGAGAAAUCAAAAGCUUUACAAACAAGAAAAAGCUAAGAGAAUUCAGCACCACUAAACCAGCUUUAUAACAAAUACUAAACGAACUUCUCUAGGUAGAAAAUAAAGGCCACAACUAGGAACAAAAAUAUUACAAAUGACAAGGCUCACCAGUAAAAGCAAAUAUACAAUAAAGGUAGGAUAGCAUCCAAAGACAAAUAUGCUAUUAAAAGAAGGAAUCAUGAGAAGGAGAGGGUACAAAUGCAGGACAGUGGAAAUGCACUUGCAAUAAAGAGACCAACAAUUUAAAACAAUCUCACACACACACACACAACACAACCCUAUUCAAAACUUCAGGGUAAUCGCAAUCCAAAAAUCUGCAAUAGAUACUCACACAAAUAAGAAGCAAUCCAAAUACAACACUAAAGAUAGUCAUCAAACCACAAGAAAAGAGAACAAGAGAAGAAAGGAAGAAAAAGAACAACAAAAACGAAUCCAAAACAGUUAAUAAAACGGCAAGGAGAACAUAAAUAUCAAUAAUUACCUUAAAUGUAAAUGAACUAAAUGUCCCAACUAAAGACAUAGAUUAGCUGAAUGGAUAGAAAAACAAGUCCCAUGUAUAUGCUCUCUUCAAGACACCCAUUUCAGUUCUAGGGACACAUAUAAACUGAAACUGAGAGGAUGGAAGGAAAUGUUCCAAGGAAAUGGGAAUCAAAAAAAAGCUGGAGUAGCAAUACUCAUACCUGAAAAAAUAAACCUUAAAAUAAAAAAUAUUAUAAGAGACAAACAAAGAAGGACAUUACAUAAUGAUCAAAAGAUCAAGCCAAGAAUAUAACAAUUGUAAAUAUAUAUCCACCCAACAUAUGAUCACCUCAAUAUAUAAGGCAAUUGCUAAAAAACUUAAAAGGAAAAACUGACAAGAACACAGUAAGAGCAGGGGAAUUUUAACACCCCACGUACAGCAAAGGACAAAUCAUCCAGACUGAAAAUCAACAAGAAGACACAGCCCUUAAAUGAUGCAUUCAACCAGAUGGACUUAAUAGAUAUUUCUAGAACAUUCCAUCCCAAAGCAACAGAAUACACAUUCUUCUCAAGUACACACAGAACAUUCUCUAGGAUAGAUCACAUUCUGGGCCACAAAUCACACCUCACUCAAUCUAAAAAACUGGAAUCAAAUCAAACAUCUUUUGUGACCACAAUGCUACAAGACUGGAAAUCAAGCACAAGAAAAAAAUGCAAAAACAGGAGUCCCUAUUGUGGCGCAGUUGUUAAGGAAUCCGACUAGGAACAAUGAGGUUGCGGGUUCGAUCCCUGGCCUUGCUCAGUGGGUUAAGGACCUGGCCUUGGAACCUCCAUAUGCCGUAGGAGCAGCCCUAGAAAAGGCAAAAAAAGAUAAAAAAAAAGGCAAAAACACAAAUAUGUUGAGAUUAAACAACAUGCUAUGAAACGCAUGCUAAACAACCAAUGGAUCACUGAAGAAAUCAAAGAGGAAAUUUAAAAAUACCUACAAGCAAAUGACAACAAAGACACAACAAUCCAAAACCUAUGGGAUGCAGCAAAAGCAGCUCUAAGAGGGAAGUUUACAGCAACACAAGCCUACCUCAGCAAACAAAAACAAAAAAGCUCAAAUAAACAACCUAACUUUAUACCAAAAGCCACCAGGCGGAGAACAGACAGGACCCAAAGUUAGCAGAAGGAAAGAAAUCAUAACCAUCAGAGCAGAAACAGAGGAAACAGAAACAAAGAAAACCAUACAAAAUAUCAAGGAAACUCAAAGCUGGUUCUCUGAAAAGAUCAACAAAACUUAUAUAAACUCUUAGCCAGACUCUUCAAGAAAAAAAGAGAGAGGACUCAAAUCAAUAAAAGUAGAAAUGAAAAAGGAGAAGUUACAACAGACAUCACAGAAAUACAAACGAUCAUAAGAGACUACUACAUGCAACUACAUGCCAAUAAAAUGGACAA